GUGUGUGUAGCUCAGUGGCAGACCUCGUGCUUAGCAUGCACAAGGUCCUGGGUUGAAUCCCCAGUUCACAUA
rnacentral:tRNA from 1 species